UACGGAGGGUGCGAGCGUUGUCCGGAAUCAUUGGGCGUAAAGCGCGUGUAGGCGGCCAGAUAAGUCCGUUCUGAAAGCCCGGGGCUCAACCCCCGGGAGGCGGAUGGAUACUGUUUGGCUCGAGUCCGGAAGAGGCGAGUGGAAUUCCCGGUGUAGCGGUGAAAUGCGCAGAUAUCAGGAGGAACACCGGUGGCGAAGGCGCCACUCUGGGCCGAAACUGACGCUGAGGAGCGAAAGCGUGGGUAGCAAACAGG
rnacentral:rRNA from 1 species